rnacentral:rRNA from 1 species
CGCACGGGUGAGUAACACGUAUCUAACCUGCCGUCUACUCUUGGACAGCCUUCUGAAAGGAAGAUUAAUACAAGAUGGCAUCAUGAGUCCGCAUGUUCACAUGAUUAAAGGUAUUCCGGUAGACGAUGGGGAUGCGUUCCAUUAGAUAGUAGGCGGGGUAACGGCCCACCUAGUCUUCGAUGGAUAGGGGUUCUGAGAGGAAGGUCCCCCACAUUGGAACUGAGACACGGUCCAA